rnacentral:rRNA from 1 species
AUUGAACGCUGGCGGCAGGCUUAACACAUGCAAGUCGAACGGUAACAUAAAGGUGCUUGCUUCUUUGAUGACGAGUGGCGGACGGGUGAGUAAUGCGUGGGCAUCUCGCUUAUGGAGGGGGAUAACUACGGGAAACUGUAGCUAAUACCGCGUAGAAUCUGGAGCUGAAAGUGUGGGGCCUUCUGGCCACAUGCCAUAGGGUGAGCCCAAGUGGGCUUAGGUAGUUGGUGGGGUAAAGGCUCACCAAGCCGACCAUCUCUAGCUGGUCUGAGAGUAUGAGCGGCCACACUGGAACUGAGACACGGCCCAGGCUCCUACGGGAGGCAGCAGUGGGGAAUAGUGCGCAGUGGUGGCAACCCUGACGCAGCCAUGCGGCGUGAAUGAAGAAGGCCUUCGGGUUGUAAAGUUCUUUCGGUAGCGAGGAAGGGAUUUAGUUUAAUAGACUAGGUGAUUGACGUUAACUACAGAAGAAGCACCGGCUAACUCCGUG